rnacentral:rRNA from 1 species
CUAACACAUGCAAGUCGAGCGGUAGCACAGAGAGCUUGCUCUCGGGUGACGAGCGGCGGACGGGUGAGUAAUGCCUGGGAAACUGCCUGAUGGAGGGGGAUAACUACUGGAAACGGUAGCUAAUACCGCAUAAUGUCGCAAGACCAAAGUGGGGAACCUUCGGGCCUCAUGCCAUCAGAUGUGCCCAGAUGGGAUUAGCUAGUAGGUGGGGUAACGGCUCACCUAGGCGACGAUCCCUAGCUGGUCUGAGAGGAUGACCAGCCACACUGGAACUGAGACACGGUCCAGACUCCUACGGGAGGCAGCAGUGGGGAAUAUUGCACAAUGGGCGCAAGCCUGAUGCAGCCAUGCCGCGUGUGUGAAGAAGGCCUUCGGGUUGUAAAGCACUCUCAGCGGGGAGGAAGGCGGUGAGGUUAAUAACCUCAUCGAUUGACGUUACCCGCAGAAGAAGCACCGGCUAACUCCGUGCCAGCAGCCGCGGUAAUACGGAGGGUGCAAGCGUUAAUCGGAAUUACUGGGCGUAAAGCGCACGCAGGCGGUCUGUCAAGUCGGAUGUGAAAUCCCCGGGCUCAACCUGGGACUGCAUUCGAAACUGGCAGGCUAGAGUCUUGUAGAGGGGGGUAGAAUUCCAGGUGUAGCGGUGAAAUGC